rnacentral:tRNA from 1 species
UGGCACAGUGGUUAAGAGCUUGGCUGCUAACCAAAAUGUUGGUGGUUCAAAUCCACC